UACGGGAAGGACGAGUGUUACUCAUAAUGAUUAGGUGUAAAGGGUUUGUAGGUGGUUUUUUUAAGUUUUCUUUGAAAUAAAUAAAUAAAAAAAAGAAAAAAACUAAUAAACUUUGAAUAUUGGAGAAAAAAAGCAGAACUUAUAGUGAAGAGGUGAAAUUCGUUGAUACUAUUGGGGACUAUCAAAGGUGAAGACAGCUUUUUAUACAAUUAUUGACACUAAAGAACGAAAGCGUGGGGAGCAAAUCAG
rnacentral:rRNA from 1 species